UACGAAGGGGGCUAGCGUUGCUCGGAUUUACUGGGCGUAAAGGGCGCGUAGGCGGACAGUUAAGUUGGGGGUGAAAGCCCGGGGCUCAACCUCGGAAUUGCCUUCAAUACUGGCUGUCUUGAGUGUGAGAGAGGUGUGUGGAACUCCGAGUGUAGAGGUGAAAUUCGUAGAUAUUCGGAAGAACACCAGUGGCGAAGGCGGCUCACUGGACUGGUAUUGACGCUGAGGUGCGAAAGCGUGGGGAGCAAACAGG
rnacentral:rRNA from 1 species